ACUUUGGUGGGAGCUUUGGUUCGGCUGGGACCUGCGCCCUGAAUGAAGGCUUCCCUGGUACCCCCUGCCGAUCCGCGGUCUUGGGGACCUGCGCGUCCGAUAGCGCGUGCUCGAAGAGGAGAGGCAACCUCAGCUCCAGGGGGUUUGAACCGACCCACUUUCAGUUACGAGUAAACUGAGACCAGAGAGCAGAGGGGGCUUAUUUCCCUCUGCCCCAUACUGGCCGGCGAAAGGGCAAGUCACACAGAGCAGGCGACCUUUUUGUCAAAAGUGUGUGGGGCGGGGCGCGCAGUAGGCGCCCUAAACGCUGGACUGAACAGAGAAGCUUAAUUGAUACUUAAGAGUGGAAGCUUAGCUACAGUUAAGGACUCCUUCCUCCUUUCAUUCAUUUAAUAAAGAUUUAUUGAUUCA
rnacentral:lncRNA from 1 species